AUGACUGCCAAUGGUGAUAUAAUGUCCUCCAUGUUGAUCAACCAAGGUAUUCCUGCCAGACAUCUCAAUAGUUUUCUUUCUGGUGCAAUCAUGCCCAUAGUUGCAGCUUAUGGCCCUUGGAAGACCGGGUAUGGGUUCAAAUUUGAGAAACUUGAACUGAAGAUGCAAAUCAGGGAAGAAGAUGGGGUGCUCCUUGUGUCUCAAGCCACUCAGACUGUAACUGCUCUGGACAAUCACCACCCUCACUCUGCUGUGCUAGAUGCUCCAUCUACCCUUCGCAUCACUGAACUGUCAGAUAACGCUACACUGCUGCCUGCCCAGCCUGCAAACAGCUCUUCUGAUUUGCAGCUUGCUUCGCCUGAGUUGAACCAUACUGCACCUAUGACUGCCUUACUGACAGACGCACAGGAGAUCAGCUCUAUGCCUAUGGCUGCAGCUAUUGAGGAGGUUCAGGAGGUUCAGAUCAUCGCUGACUCUCAGCAGGACUUGUCUAUGCAUGUUCCGCUACAACCUAUUAUUCCCUCCGUUCCGGAUGUUGCUGCCUCCUCUAACAGAAAGGGUAAAGCGACUGCUCCUGAAUCAACCAUUACUCUGCGUCGCAGUGCACGUCCCAAUAAAUAUGAUGGGUUCAAAGUGCCACCUCUUUCAGACACCAAGCUCAAAACCUCCAAGGUCAAACCCAGAGUGAUUCCUUCUGCAACUUCGGCCAACAUAGACUCUGCUCUGUCUGAAGCCCCAGAGAUCCCACCCCCUACUGCUAUUCCAGUCAUCUAG
rnacentral:rRNA from 1 species